rnacentral:rRNA from 1 species
GUUAAAAAGCUCGUAGUUGAAUUUCGGGUUUCCGGCGCUCCCGCUUCAUUGCGGGGACACGGGGACCCUCCUCGCCUUAGGGCGUCAUUUACUGUGAAAAAAUUAGAGUGUUCAAAGCAGGCAAUCGCUUGAAUACAUUAGCAUGGAAUAAUAAGAUAGGAUUACGUCUAUUUUGUUGGUUGCGGACGAUAAUAAUGAUUAAUAGGGAUAGUUGGGGGUGUCCGUAUUGAGCUGUCAGAGGUGAAAUUCUUGGAUUUGCUCAAGACGAACUACUGCGAAAGCAUUCACCAAGGAUGUUUUCAUUAAUUAAGAACGAAAGUCAGGGGAUCGAAGAGGAUUAGAUACCCUCGUAGUCUUGACCAUAAACUAUGCUGACUUGGGAUUGGCAGACGUUGUAUCGACUCUGUCAGCACCGUAUGAUAAAUCAAAGUCUUUGGGUUUUGGGGGGAGUAUGGUCGCAAGGCUGAAACUUAAAGGAAUUGACGGAAGGGCACCAUUAGGAGUGGAGCCUGCGGCUUAAUUUGACUCAACACGGGGAAACUUACCAGGUCCAGACAUAGUUAGGAUUGACAGAUUGAGAGCUCUUUCAUGAUUCUAUGGGUGGUGGUGCAUGGCCGUUCUUAGUUGGUGGAGUGAUUUGUCUGGUUAAUUUUGUUUACGAAUGAGACCUUUGUUUGCUAAAUAGACGGGUCCUGUUCGCAGGGUUUUGUCUUCUUAGAGGGACUAUCGGCGUUAUAGUCGAUGGAAGUUGGAGGCAAUAACAGGUCUGUGAUGCUCUUAGAUGUUCUGGGCCGCACGCGUGCUACACUGACCGGUGCAACAAGUUUAUUUCCUUGGCUCGAUAGGCCUGGGUAAUCCUCGAACGCUGGUCGUGAUGGGGAUAGAUCCUUGCAAUUUUUGAUCUUCAACGAGGAAUUCCUAGUAAAUGCAAGUC